rnacentral:lncRNA from 1 species
CGGGGAUUGGGAGUGGAGGCUGAGCAAACAGCAGGCUUCACCCCCCAGCCCAGGAACCCGGAGCCUCUCAGGCCCUGUGUCUAGGCAAUGAGCGCCUUCCUACUCCGGACCCCCAGCCCCGGCCACGACCCGCACCCAGCCGAGCCGCCUGGCUUCCUCCAGCCCAGCCUCCUGCCCUGAGAAAUGGAAGCCAAGGACACAGCUGUUCCAGGCACCCUUCCCAAAGCGACUCCGGUCGGUCAGCCGACUGAGAAGGUCCCACGUGCCAGGUUGGAUGGGGAGGGGCUGCAGAGAUGCACGUGGUGGCCCAUGUCCUGGUCGGAGGAAUCAGACUGCCGCCCUUCCUCUCACAGAUGUAAGCUUACCAACAUCGGUACGAGGCCGCCUUCGGGGUCAGAUGUGAAACUGAGGAUCAGCACGUCGGUUGUCUUGGCCAACAAAAACCAGUACUCCGUGAUUGGAGCCCGUCUGUCCAUGGCCCGUGCUCCCUCCUACACCACUUUCUUGAAAUGAGAUUUUUAAAACAGCCCUGGUUCCUGCUCAUUUCCUGUUAGGAGCAGCUUUGCGUUAGAAAGAGUAGCUUUGGCCCGUGUCCCACCACAAGGGACCCCAAUCCUGCCCCUCUGGUCUAACACCUGUCAUCGCUCCUGACACCCGUGUCAGAGAGGAAAACCAAAGAACCCACCGCAGUUACGGUAAUACCCCAAGACGGCCAUCACCAUGCCUUCCGCACUCAGCAGGGAGAGAGAGGCAGUGAGCUCAUUGCCAUGGUGUUGAGCUAGGGCUGAGGCUGUUCUCCUCUGGGUCCGCUGGCCCCGUAGCUCUGCGGGAGGGUUGGGGCAGCAACCCACCAGGUGGAAGAGAUGGUGCUACUUCCCUUCUGGACGAGACUGACGCAUGCAGAGUGGGGCAGGGCAAGCCUUCCUCUCCAGGAUGGCAGCGGGGCUGGGAGGGUGCCCUCGUCACAGCCACCAGGUGGCCCUGUUCUGUGCCCCUUAAGAUGGCCCCCACUAAGCCUCGACUCCCGGUAUUCACACCCCUGUGUAGUCCUCCCUACAAUGAACGGGGCUGACCUAUGUGAACAGCAGGAUAUAGCAAAAGUGGCAGGCGAUGACUUCUGAGGCCAGGUCAUAACGGGAUCAUUCUCUCUGGGGGAAGUCAGCUGCCAUGUCACGAGGACACUCCAGCAGCCCCAGGGAGAAGCCCACGGAGCAAGGAACUGAGGCCUCCUGCCAACAGCCAGCACCAAUUUUUCAUUCGUGUGAGUGAGCCAGCAUGGAUGCAGAUGCUCCAGCCUCCGUCAAGCCUUCAGAUGAGCCUGCUGCUCAGAUUUCUGUUCAGGUGUCACCUCCUCCAAGAAGUCCUCUUGAACACUCCAGAGCUAAUCACUCCGUCCUCGAUGCUGUUGCUGAACCUUCCACGCACCCGUUUGUAGAGUGGUUAUAAACAUGGUCCUGAAUCAAAAAUGGGCUCCCAGACCUGCCACUCACCACCGGUAGGAUCUUGGCAAAGCGGCACCUCACUGUCCACAUCUGUAAAAUGCAGACGAUUCCUACCUCAGCACUAGAGGGAGGGUCAAAUGAGACCGAGUCUGUGGACGCUGUGAAUUCCAUCCUGACUCGGGAUCCAUCUCAUAGACGGGCCCCUGGAGACCAGGCUGUAUGGGGAGCGAGGCCGGCACUGAGCAGAGGGGCUUGGGGAGGGAACUGACAUACCUGGAGCACCUGCCUGUGCCAGGCGCUGGGCUAGACUCUGUAUCUCUAUGACUUAACCUAAUCUUUGCAACAAGAGCUGAGCAUCCUCAGCCACCUUUUCACACAUUUAGAAAGUGAAGCUCAGGAAGUUCAUGGCUUGCCUAGUGUCACACCGGGGAUGGAGGCGGGAUCUGAACCCCUUGUCUGUUGAACUCCAAAGGCUUCCAGCUCUGGCACUGAGUCUGUGCAGACCCAGCUGGGAGGUCCUGGGCCCAGGACAGUUCUCCAGUCCUCAGGAGGGCAGCAAAGUGAGGGUUAGUCAGCCUGGCCCAUGGUGGACUAUCCCCUCCUUUGUAUUGGGUGAUAGACUUCUAGUAAUACAACCCAAGAAGACCAUGGCUUUGCGGUUUCCUCUUCCCAGUUGUGGAAUCAGUUCAAUCCUGCUUACCUCCAGGUCAAAACAGGACACCUUCCCCCACCCUGAGCCCACCCUGCACAUCAUACCUUGAAAUUAACUUGCAAUUGCUGUGAGCUCUGAUUCACCCCCAACCUCCAACUGGCGCCAACAUAAGGAUUGCAUGAGCCAACAGCUCAUGGCUCAUGGUGCUGGAUGAAGGGUGUGGAGCGGGGUGAGGGUGCUGUUCCCUUUCUGGGGGGUAAUUUCCUUUUGUUGCUCAGCUCAGCUCAGCAGCCACCCGCCUCCACCCUCCCUGGCUAAUUAGUCGCCUGAUUUCCAUCAGCCUGAUUAGGUCCAUUUGAGCCACCACCCCACCCUGAGCAGCAGGAAGUUGACUCCAGUUAAGAGAGGAAGCGGCUGACUUAGGGAAGUGGAGGGGGUACAGGGCAGGGGAGGGAGGGAUGAACGGAACUGUUGGCGGGGGGAAGCAGAGAGAAAUCAAUGGGCUCCCUGGAAUUUUCAUCCCUUGGAAGCCACGCAGCACAAGUUUUAUCACUUGAUAAACAUUUAGUGAGCACCUACUGUGUACCACCUCUGUUCUCGACACGGCAGCGAACAAGACAGCCGAGGUUGCCGCCUGUCCUCCUGGGGCUCUAGAUAAACACGUUCUAGAUAAACAAGGAGAAAACACUGCUAUGAUGGAAAAU